rnacentral:rRNA from 1 species
CCUACGGGAGGCUGCAGCAAGGAAUUUUCCGCAAUGGGGGAAACCCUGACGGAGCAACGCCGCGUGCGGGAUGACGCUUUUCGGAGUGUAAACCGCUUUUCUCGGGGACGAUGGAGGACGGUACCCGAGGAAUAAGGCCCGGCUAACUACGUGCCAGCAGCCGCGGUAAUACGUAGGGGCCGAGCGUUGUCCGGAGUUAUUGGGCGUAAAGCGCGCGCAGGCGGCUUCGCGCGUCCGACGUGAAAGCCCCCGGCUUAACCGGGGAGGGUCGUUGGGUACGGCGAGGCUUGAGGGCGGGAGAGGGUGGUGGAAUUCCCGGUGUAGUGGUGAAAUGCGUAGAGAUCGGGAGGAACACCUGUGGCGAAGGCGGCCACCUGGGCCGACCCUGACGCUGAGGCGCGAAGGCGUGGGGAGCGAACGGGAUUAGAUACCCUUGUAGU